CAUGGGCAGCAGGUAAUGGAUGCUGGGGAAGGAUAAGCCUCCCCAAACCUCCACUAAUGCUCCGCGCUGUAACCCCAGGGCCAGGCCGAGAUGGGGCUCAGAGCUCCUCUGGGUGACCCCCAGGGCUCAGGGCUCGGCCCCAGCCAGCUGGCUGGGACUCUGGGCCCCUCUGGACUGCUCCGGGCACUGGCGAGCUGGCCUGGGUUCAGGACUGCACCGGAAGGCCAGGCAAUCAGGAAUGAAGCACUGAAUAGAACUGACCCCCGCUGCACCCCAGUAGACAUCUUUUCACUCAUCCCAAAUCUACGCAUUUCUUCCUUUAGGACUUUAAGCCAAUCCACAAGACACUGCUCACAGCCCAGCCACUUUGACGCCGCAUCUCAUGAAAGUCUCCCUCUCUAAAUUAAUUCAUGUCCUAAAAUCUAAAUGUAUGCUGGCUAUUGCAGCCCCUUCAGCCACUGGCUUUGCAAGCCUGUCCAAAAAAGCAAUCAAAUUUGUCUGGAAAAAGUUAUUCUUUGCAAGCCUGAGCUACUGAUUAGUCAUGGUUCUGGUGCCCAGUAGGUGAGGGAAGAGAGAGUCCUUUGUGCCAAAGAGCAGCUGGGCGACAGGGGACCACCCCCCACCCUCCGCACAGCCUCUGCAGAUAUCAGCUUCAAGCGCAGAAUAGUGGAGUGACACACACUGCCUGACUGGAAGGGUAGUGAUCUGGAUCGACAGCCCAC